AUUGAACGCUGGCGGCAGGCCUAACACAUGCAAGUCGAGCGGAUGAAGGGAGCUUGCUCCUGGAUUCAGCGGCGGACGGGUGAGUAAUGCCUAGGAAUCUGCCCGGUAGUGGGGGAUAACGUCCGGAAACGGGCGCUAAUACCGCAUACGUCCUGAGGGAGAAAGUGGGGGAUCUUCGGACCUCACGCUAUCAGAUGAGCCUAGGUCGGAUUAGCUAGUUGGUGGGGUAAAGGCCUACCAAGGCGACGAUCCGUAACUGGUCUGAGAGGAUGAUCAGUCACACUGGAACUGAGACACGGUCCAGACUCCUACGGGAGGCAGCAGUGGGGAAUAUUGGACAAAGGGCGAAAGCCUGAUCCAGCCAUGCCGCGUGUGUGAAGAAGGUCUUCGGAUUGUAAAGCACUUUAAGUUGGGGGGAAGGGCAGUAAGUUAAUACCUUGCUGUUUUGACGUUACCAACAGAAUAAGCACCGGCUAACUUCGUG
rnacentral:rRNA from 1 species